ensembl:lncRNA
UAUUUACGUAGACAUUACAUCCAUCUCCAGACUUCUGCACAUUCCACGAAGAAGGAGAAUGUUGUGGAACUUGAGCUUUCAUUACUUGUUUACAGAUCCAGGAGCAUAGUGCAGUGUUGUUUACAGGACCAGGAGCAUAGUGCAGUGUUGUUUACAGGAGCAUAGUGCAGUGUUGUUUACAGGAGCAUAGUGUUGUGUUGUUUACAGGUCCAUAGUGUUGUGUUGUUUACAGAUCCAGAAGCAUAGUGUUGUGUUGUUUACAGGUCCAUAGUGUUGUGUUGUUUACAGAUCCAGGAGCAUAGUGUUGUGUUGUUUACAGGUCCAGGAGCAUAGUGUUGUGUUGUUUACAGGUCCAGGAGCAUAGUGCAGUGUUGUUUACAGGUGUUGUUUACAGGUCCAGGACCAUAGUGUAGUGUUGUUUAUAGAUCCAGGAGCAUAGUGUUGUGUUGUUUACAGAUCCAAGAGCAUAGUGUUGUGUUGUUUACAGGUCCAGAUCCAGGAGCAUAGUGUUGUGUUGUUUACAGAUCUAAGAGCGUAGUGUUGUUUACAGAUCCAGGAGCAUAGUGUUGUUUACAGAUCCAGGGGCAUAGUGCAGUGUUGUUUACAGAUCCAGGAGCAUAGUGUUGUGUUGUUUACAGAUCCAGGAGCAUAGUGCUGUGUUGUUUACAGGUCCAGGAGCAUAGUGCAGUGUUGUCCCCCCUCUGCAGACUGCCACGAGUGUGUUGUGUGUUUAAGAAGGGA